GUACAGUAGUAUGGAUAUACAGUGUCACUGAAGAUGAGCCAGGCAGAACAUGGAAGUGGGAAUGAGGAGUCUUUUCAGCUGACAGACAGCAUGAGAGAUUGCAGAUGAUGCUUUGAACUUCUCUCCUGAGCUUCCAAUGGAACUACAAAGGAAGAGCCGAACAGUUCGGCCUGCAGGUCCCUUGGAUGGAGGCUAUGGCUGGUUCAUAGUGCUUUCCACCUUCCUUGUCUUUGGUCUGACAUUCGGUGUAAUCAAGUCCUUUGGCGUGUUCUUCGUAGAAAUCCACCACUACUUCGCAACCACGGCGACUACAAGCUCAUGGAUCACAUCCAUCUCUGUGGCAACUGUACAUUUUGGGGCCCCCGUAGGCUCCGCAUUGAGUGCAUACUUCGGCCAUCGGCCAGUGGUCAUGGUGGGGGGUCUGCUGAGCAGCAUUGGGAUGGUGGCCGGGUCAUAUGCCCAGGAUCUGCUACAGCUGUACAUCACUGUGGGGUUCCU